rnacentral:rRNA from 1 species
GACGUGGAAGACUAGUGUUAUUCGAUCUUUGUAAAGUAGGUUUAAAGGGUACCUGAGAUACGGUAUUUCUAGCCUAAAAAAGGUACCAGGAUUUAACCUAGAGUUUUAAUGUGAGAAGGUGAGUAUUUAAAGUGUAGAGAUGAAAUUUUUUGAUACUUUAAGGACUGACAUAGGCGAAAGCAACCUUCUAUGUAAUAACUGACGUUGAAGGACGAAGGCCUGGGUAGCGAGCAGG